CCAGACUCCUACGGGAGGCAGCAGUGGGGAAUAUUGGACAAUGGGGGGAACCCUGAUCCAGCGACGCCGCGUGAGUGAAGAAGUAUUUCGGUAUGUAAAGCUCUAUCAGCAGGGAAGAAGAAAUGACGGUACCUGACUAAGAAGCCCCGGCUAACUACGUGUCAGCAGCCGCGGUAAUACGUAGGGGGCAAGCGUUAUCCGGAUUUACUGGGUGUAAAGGGAGCGUAGACGGCAGUGCAAGUCUGAAGUGAAAGCCCCGGGCUUAACCCGGGAACUGCUUUGGAAACUGUACGGCUGGAGUGCUGGAGAGGUAAGCGGAAUUCCUAGUGUAGCGGUGAAAUGCGUAGAUAUUAGGAGGAACACCAGUGGCGAAGGCGGCUUACUGGACAGUAACUGACGUUGAGGCUCGAAAGCGUGGGGAGCAAACAGGAUUAGAUACCCCCGUAAA
rnacentral:rRNA from 1 species